GCCGGGGUAGCUCAAUCGGUAGAGCGUGUGGCUCUUAAGGACUAUAAUGUCCAGAAACCUCAAGGUCGUGGGUUCGAGCCCCACCUUCGGCU
rnacentral:tRNA from 1 species